rnacentral:rRNA from 1 species
AUGAGGGUCAAGCUUGAGCUCCUCAUGCCCCUGAUGGCGCAAUACAAAACACCCGCAUGGGCCACAUUGGUCGCCGGGUUCUUUGUGCUGCUUGCCCUUUCCCUCUCCAUGUACCUGAUAUUUGAGCAUCUAUCGGCAUACAACAACCCAGAGGAACAGAAAUUUGUUCUGGGUGUUAUUUUGAUGGUCCCUUGCUAUGCAAUUGAGUCGUAUGUUUCUUUGGUAGAUCCAAAUAUCACUGUUUACUGUGGCAUCUUGCGCGAGGGUUACGAAGCAUUAGCUAUGUACUGCUUUGGAAGAUAUAUCACUGCAUGUUUAGGUGGGGAAGAAAAAACGAUAGCCUUUUUGAAGAGGGAAGGCGGCUCAGAUUCUAGGCAACCCCUUUUGCAUCAUGCUUCCGAGAAAGGAAUUAUACACCAUCAUUUUCCCGUGAAUUAUAUUUUGAAACCCUGGCGAAUGGGGACGCGAUUUUACCAGAUUAUCAAAUUUGGAAUCUUCCAAUAUGUGAUUAUAAAGACACUCACAGCUAGCUUAUCUCUUUUUCUAGAAGCUUUUGGUGUAUAUUGUGAAGGUGAAUUCAAUUUACGAUGUGGAUACCCUUAUUUUGCUGCAAUCCUGAAUUUCAGUCAAUUUUGGGCCCUAUACUGUUUAGUAGAAUGGUACACAGCUACCAAGGACGAAUUGGCACAUAUAAAACCUCUGGCUAAGUUUCUUUCGUUCAAGUCAAUAGUAUUCUUGACUUGGUGGCAAGGGGUGGUGAUUGCAAUAAUGUAUUCUUUGGGCCUGCUUAGAAGUCCUUUAGCCCAGAGCUUGCAGUUAAAAUCAAGUAUUCAAGAUUUUAUUAUCUGCAUAGAGAUGGGCAUUGCGUCAGCUGUUCACCUCUAUGUGUUCCCUGCUAAACCCUAUGAGCUCUUAGUUAACCAGUCACCUGGAAACAUUUCAGUCCUUGGAGAUUACGCAUCCUCUGACCCUAUAGAUCCUGAAGAAGUCAAGGAGAGUAACCGGCCGAGCAAAAUGAAGCUUCCACAGUUCGAACCGGAUGAGAGAAGUGCAACAAACAUAAAAGAGAGUGUUCGCGACUUUGUGGUUGGCAGUGGGGAAUAUGUGAUCCAGGAUUUUAAGUUUACUGUUAACCAAGCAGUGCGGCCGGUGGAGAAGCGGUUUGAUAAACUGCUGAAAAAGAAAGACAAGUAUAAGAACACCCAGGAUGACAACUGGGUGAGUGCAGCAUCGCCAGAGAGACCGGUUCGUGGCAUCGAUGAUCCGCUAUUAAGCGGGAGCACAAGUGACAGCGGGGUCUUGAAGGGCAAAAAGCAACGUAGAGUUGUCAGCACAGUUGCUACCGCGGAUAGUUGGGGAGGUGGUGAUAAGACGCCUGAUGGCUACGAGAUAAGGGGCCGCCGCUGGGCAGUGAAGAAUUGA